AGAAUCAACGCUGGCGGCGUGCCUAACACAUGCAAGUCGAACGAGAAAGUGGAGCAAUCCAUGAGUAAAGUGGCGCACGGGUGAGUAACGCGUGACUAACCUACCUUUUAGUGGGGGAUAACCUAGGGAAACCUGGGCUAAUACCGCAUAACACUUACGAGUCAAAGCAGCAAUGCGCUGAAAGAGGGGGUCGCGGCCGAUUAGCUAGUUGGCGGGGUAAUGGCCCACAAGGCAGUGAUCGGUA
rnacentral:rRNA from 1 species